UGCAGUCGAGCGGAACCGUUGGAGCUUGCUCCAACAGUUUAGCGGCGGACGGGUGAGUAACACGUGGGCAACCUGCCCUGCAGAUCGGGAUAACUCCGGGAAACCGGUGCUAAUACCGAAUAGUUUGGAACACCUCCUGGUGUUCCACGGAAAGACGGUUUCGGCUGUCACUGCAGGAUGGGCCCGCGGCGCAUUAGCUAGUUGGUGGGGUAACGGCCUACCAAGGCGACGAUGCGUAGCCGACCUGAGAGGGUGAUCGGCCACACUGGGACUGAGACACGGCCCAGACUCCUACGGGAGGCAGCAGUAGGGAAUCUUCCGCAAUGGACGAAAGUCUGACGGAGCAACGCCGCGUGAGUGAAGAAGGUUUUCGGAUCGUAAAACUCUGUUGUGAGGGAAGAACAAGUACCAAUUAACUACUGGUACCUUGACGGUACCUCACCAGAAAGCCACGGCUAACUACGUGCCAGCAGCCGCGGUAAUACGUAGGUGGCAAGCGUUGUCCGGAAUUAUUGGGCGUAAAGCGCGCGCAGGCGGUCCUUUAAGUCUGAUGUGAAAGCCCACGGCUCAACCGUGGAGGGUCAUUGGAAACUGGGGGACUUGAGUGCAGAAGAGGAAAGUGGAAUUCCACGUGUAGCGGUGAAAUGCGUAGAGAUGUGGAGGAACACCAGUGGCGAAGGCGACUUUCUGGUCUGUAACUGACGCUGAGGCGCGAAAGCGUG
rnacentral:rRNA from 2 species